rnacentral:tRNA from 1 species
AUUCAAAUAGUUUAAUAAAAAUUCUAAUUUGUGGAAUUAGAGAUAUACUAGUAUAUUUUGGAUA